rnacentral:rRNA from 1 species
UACGAAGGGAGCUAGCGUUGUUCGGAAUCACUGGGCGUAAAGCGCACGUAGGCGGAUUUGUCAGUCAGGGGUGAAAUCCCGGGGCUCAACCCCGGAACUGCCUUUGAUACUGGGUAUCUCGAGUCCGAGAGAGGUGAGUGGAAUUCCGAGUGUAGAGGUGAAAUUCGUAGAUAUUCGGAGGAACACCAGUGGCGAAGGCGGCUCACUGGCUCGGUACUGACGCUGAGGUGCGAAAGCGUGGGGAGCAAACAGG